rnacentral:rRNA from 1 species
AUGAACGCUAGCUACAGGCUUAACACAUGCAAGUCGAGGGGCAGCAUGAACUUAGCUUGCUAAGUUUGAUGGCGACCGGCGCACGGGUGAGUAACACGUAUCCAACCUGCCGAUGACUCGGGGAUAGCCUUUCGAAAGAAAGAUUAAUACCCGAUGGCAUAGUUCUUCCGCAUGGUAGAACUAUUAAAGAAUUUCGGUCAUCGAUGGGGAUGCGUUCCAUUAGGUUGUUGGCGGGGUAACGGCCCACCAAGCCUUCGAUGGAUAGGGGUUCUGAGAGGAAGGUCCCCCACAUUGGAACUGAGACACGGUCCAAACUCCUACGGGAGGCAGCAGUGAGGAAUAUUGGUCAAUGGACGAGAGUCUGAACCAGCCAAGUAGCGUGAAGGAUGACUGCCCUAUGGGUUGUAAACUUCUUUUAUACGGGAAUAAAGUGAGGCACGUGUGCCUUUUUGUAUGUACCGUAUGAAUAAGGAUCGGCUAACUCCGUGCCAGCAGCCGCGGUAAUACGGAGGAUCCGAGCGUUAUCCGGAUUUAUUGGGUUUAAAGGGAGCGUAGGCGGACGCUUAAGUCAGUUGUGAAAGUUUGCGGCUCAACCGUAAAAUUGCAGUUGAUACUGGGUGUCUUGAGUACAGUAGAGGCAGGCGGAAUUCGUGGUGUAGCGGUGAAAUGCUUAGAUAUCACGAAGAACUCCGAUUGCGAAGGCAGCUUGCUGGACUGUAACUGACGCUGAUGCUCGAAAGUGUGGGUAUCAAACAGGAUUAGAUACCCUGGUAGUCCACACAGUAAACGAUGAAUACUCGCUGUUUGCGAUAUACAGUAAGCGGCCAAGCGAAAGCGUUAAGUAUUCCACCUGGGGAGUACGCCGGCAACGGUGAAACUCAAAGGAAUUGACGGGGGCCCGCACAAGCGGAGGAACAUGUGGUUUAAUUCGAUGAUACGCGAGGAACCUUACCCGGGCUUGAAUUGCAACUGAAUGAUGUGGAGACAUGUCAGCCGCAAGGCAGUUGUGAAGGUGCUGCAUGGUUGUCGUCAGCUCGUGCCGUGAGGUGUCGGCUUAAGUGCCAUAACGAGCGCAACCCUUAUCGAUAGUUACCAUCAGGUUAUGCUGGGGACUCUGUCGAGACUGCCGUCGUAAGAUGUGAGGAAGGUGGGGAUGACGUCAAAUCAGCACGGCCCUUACGUCCGGGGCUACACACGUGUUACAAUGGGGGGUGCAGAAGGCAGCUACACGGCGACGUGAUGCUAAUCCCGAAAGCCUCUCUCAGUUCGGAUUGGAGUCUGCAACCCGACUCCAUGAAGCUGGAUUCGCUAGUAAUCGCGCAUCAGCCACGGCGCGGUGAAUACGUUCCCGGGCCUUGUACACACCGCCCGUCACACCAUGAGAGUUGGGAAUACCCGAAGCCUGUGAGCUAACUUUUAGAGGCAGCAGUCGAAGGUAGAAUCAAUGAUUGGGGUG